UACGGGAGGCAGCAGUGGGGAAUAUUGCACAAUGGGCGCAAGCCUGAUGCAGCGACGCCGCGUGAGGGAUGACGGCCUUCGGGUUGUAAACCUCUUUCAGCAGGGAAGAAGCGCAAGUGACGGUACCUGCAGAAGAAGCACCGGCUAACUACGUGCCAGCAGCCGCGGUAAUACGUAGGGUGCGAGCGUUGUCCGGAAUUAUUGGGCGUAAAGAGCUCGUAGGCGGCUUGUCGCGUCGGAUGUGAAAGCCCGGGGCUUAACCCCGGGUCUGCAUUCGAUACGGGCAGGCUGGAGUUCGGCAGGGGAGAUUGGAAUUCCUGGUGUAGCGGUGAAAUGCGCAGAUAUCAGGAGGAACACCGGUGGCGAAGGCGGAUCUCUGGGCCGAUACUGACGCUGAGGAGCGAAAGCGUGGGGAGCGAACAGGAUUAGAUACCCUGGUAGUCCACGCCGUAAACGUUGGGCACUAGGUGUGGGCGACAUUCCACGUCGUCCGUGCCGCAGCUAACGCAUUAAGUGCCCCGCCUGGGGAGUACGGCCGCAAGGCUAAAACUCAAAGGAAUUGACGGGGGCCCGCACAAGCGGCGGAGCAUGUGGCUUAAUUCGACGCAACGCGAAGAACCUUACCAAGGCUUGACAUACACCGGAAACCGCCAGAGAUGGU
rnacentral:rRNA from 1 species